rnacentral:rRNA from 1 species
CAUGUCUUUUUGAUUAAAAUAUAAAGUCUAGUCUGCUCAAUGAAUAAAAAUUUAAAUAGCUGCAGUAUUUUGACUGUACAAAGGUAGCAUAAUAAAUAGUUUUUUAAUUGAAAGCUGGAAUGAAGGAUUGGACGAGAAAAUUACUGUCUCAAUUUAAUUAAUAUUGAAUUUAACUUUUUAGUUAAAAGGCUAAAAUAUUUUUAAAAGACGAGAAGACCCUAUAGAGUUUUAUAGUUAAUAUUUUUUAAUUUAUUUAGAAUUAUUAAGAUUUAAAUUUGUAUUAAUUAUUUGGUUGGGGUGAUCGGAAAAUUUAUAAAACUUUUUUAUUUAAUAAUUAUUUAUAUAUAAAUUAAUUUUCUAUAGAUUUUUAAAUUUAAAAUAAAUUACCUUAGGGAUAACAGCGUAAUAUAUAUUUAAAGUUCUUAUUUAAAUAUUUGUUUGCGACCUCGAUGUUGGAUUAAAAUUUAUUAUUGGUGCAGGAGCUAAAUAAUUGAGUCUGUUCGACUUUUAAAAUUUUACAUGAUCUGAGU